GACGAACGCUGGCGGCGUGCUUAACACAUGCAAGUCGAACGGAAAGGCCCUGCUCGCAGGGUACUCGAGUGGCGAACGGGUGAGUAACACGUGGGUGAUCUGCCCUGCACUUCGGGAUAAGCCUGGUAAACUGGGUCUAAUACCGGAUAGGAGCCAUUUUUAGUGUGAUGGUUGGAAAGUUUUUUCGGUGUAGGAUGAGCUCGCGGCCUAUCAGCUUGUUGGUGGGGUAAUGGCCUACCGAGGCGGCGACGGGUAGCCGGCCUGAGAGGGUGGACGGCCACACAGGGACUGAGAGACGGCCCAGACUCCGACGGGUGGCAGCAGGGGGGAAGAUUGCACGAGGAGCGCAAGCCUGAUGCAGCGACGCCGCGUGGGGGAUGACGGUCUUCGGGUUGUAAACUCCUUUCGCUAGGGACGAAGCUUUUUGUGACGGUACCUAGAUAAGAAGCACCGGCUAACUACGUG
rnacentral:rRNA from 1 species